rnacentral:tRNA from 2 species
CCCUGGUUGGCUCAGUUGGUAGAGCGCUCCAGUGGAAACGCAGAGGUCCCAGGUUCGAUACCCGGACCAGGUG